rnacentral:rRNA from 1 species
CGACCAAGCGUACACGGUGGAUGCCCUGGCAGUCAGAGGCGAUGAAGGACGUGCUAAUCUGCGAAAAGCGCCGGUAAGGUGAUAUGAACCGUUAUAACCGGCGAUGUCCGAAUGGGGAAACCCAGUGUGACUCGUCACACUAUCAUUAACUGAAUCCAUAGGUUAAUGAGGCGAACCGGGGGAACUGAAACAUCUAAGUACCCCGAGGAAAAGAAAUCAACCGAGAUUCCCCCA